GAUGAGGAACGCAGCGAAAUGCGAUACGUAAUGUGAAUUGCAGAAUUCAGUGAAUCAUCGAGUCUUUGAACGCACAUUGCGCCCCCUGGUAUUCCGGGGGGCAUGCCUGUCCGAGCGUCAUUGCUGCCCUCAAGCACGGCUUGUGUGUUGGGCCUCCGUCCUCCUCCCGGGGGACGGGCCCGAAAGGCAGCGGCGGCACCGCGUCCGGUCCUCGAGCGUAUGGGGCUUCGUCACCCGCUCUUGUAGGCCCGGCCGGCGCUUGCCGACACAUCAAUCUUUUUUCCAGGUUGACCUCGGAUCAGGUAGGGAUACCCGCUGAACUUAAGCAUAUCAAUAAGCGGAGGA
rnacentral:misc_RNA from 1 species